AACGAACGCUGGCGGCAGGCUUAACACAUGCAAGUCGAGCGCCCCGCAAGGGGAGCGGCAGACGGGUGAGUAACGCGUGGGAAUCUACCCAUCUCUACGGAAUAACGCAUGGAAACGUGUGCUAAUACCGUAUACGUCCUUCGGGAGAAAGAUUUAUCGGAGAUGGAUGAGCCCGCGUUGCAUUAGCUAGUGGGUGGGGUAAAGGCCUACCAAGGCGACGAUCCAUACCUGGUCUGAGAGGAUGAGCAGCCACACUGGGACUGAGACACGGCCCAGCCGCCCAGGGGAGGCAGCAGUGGGGAAUAUUGGACAAUGGGCGUCAGCUUGAUACAGCCAUGCCGCGUGAGUGAUGAAGGCCCUAGGGUUGUAAAGCUCUUUCGCCGGUGAAGAUAAUGACGGUAACCGGAGAAGAAGCCCCGGCUAACUUCCUGCCAGCCACCGUGGUAGCAC
rnacentral:rRNA from 1 species